ensembl:snRNA U6 U6 spliceosomal RNA
GUGCUCGCUUUGUGACACAUAUACUGCAAUUGGGACGAUACAGAGAAGAUCAGCAUGGCCGCUUCACAAGAAUGAUGCCCUCGCCUGGGUGGCUCGGUCGGUUAAG